rnacentral:lncRNA from 1 species
UUUCUGCUUCCUUGCCAGCGGCCACGCUUGCCCCCUCGCCUAUGUUUGUGGAUACUACCACGAGAUGAAGUGGCAUUCACUUCCUGAGAUGCAGCAUUUAUUUCAGGAAGUGGUGCUGAGCCUGUUGGGUGAGAUUGGUGAUUCUUUAAUAAGAGCUCAUUAUUCUGCUCAGCUAACAAGAGGCAAGAUACAAGUUCCGAGUACUUCUUAAAACCGCUAUGUCUGUAUUGCUG